AUACGGAGGGGGCGAGCGUUGUUCGGAAUUAUUGGGCGUAAAGAGCACGUAGGCGGCGCGGUAAGUCCUGUGUGAAAGCCCUCGGCUCAACCGAGGAAGUGCAUAGGAAACUGCCGUGCUUGAGUGCGGGAGAGGAGAGUGGAAUUCCCGGUGAAGCGGUGAAAUGCGUAGAUAUCGGGAAGAACACCGGUGGCGAAGGCGGCUCUCUGGACCGUUACUGACGCUGAGGUGCGAAAGCUGGGGGAGCGAACGGGAUUAGAAACCCGAGUAGUCA
rnacentral:rRNA from 1 species